UAAGCCAUGCGAGUCAACGUAGCAAUACGUGGCACACGGCUCAGUAACACGUAGUCAACAUAACCAAAGGACGUGGAUAAACUCGGGAAACUGAGGCUAAACCGCGAUAGAUCAAGAUACCUGGAAUGGUUUUUGAUCAAAAUCUAUAUGGCCUUUGGAUUGGACUGCGUCCGAUCAGGCUGUUGGUGAGGUAAUGGCCCACCAAACCUGUAACCGGUACGGGCUCUGAGAGGAGGAGCCCGGAGAUGGGUACUGAGAAAAGGACCCAGGCCCUAUGGGGCGCAGCAGGCGCGAAACCUCUGCAAUAGGCGAAAGCCUGACAGGGUUACUCUGAGUGACUUUCGCUAAGAAAGUCUUUUGACACCUCUAAAAAUGGUGUAGAAUAAGGGGUGGGCAAGUCUGGUGCCAGCCGCCGCGGUA
rnacentral:rRNA from 1 species